rnacentral:rRNA from 1 species
GAAUCUUGCACAAUGGGGGAAACCCUGAUGCAGCGACGCCGCGUGAGCGAUGAAGCCCUUCGGGGUGUAAAGCUCUUUCGGCAGGGACGAUAAUGACGGUACCUGAAGAAGAAGCUGCGGCUAACUACGUGCCAGCAGCCGCGGUAAUACGUAGGCAGCGAGCGUUGUUCGGAGUUACUGGGCGUAAAGAGUGCGUAGGCGGUUUUCUAAGUUUGGUGUGAAAUCUCCCGGCUUAACUGAGAGGGUGCGCCGAAGACUGGAAGGCUUGAGUAUGGGAGAGGUAAGCGGAAUUCCUGGUGUAGCGGUGAAAUGCGUAGAUAUCAGGAGGAACACCUGCGGUGUAGACGGCUUACUGGACCAUAACUGACGCUGAGGCACGAAAGCGUGGGUAGCAAACAGG